rnacentral:rRNA from 1 species
UACGUAGGGGGCAAGCGUUGUCCGGAAUCAUUGGGCGUAAAGCGCGUGUAGGCGGUCCGGUAAGUCCGCUGUGAAAGUCGGGGGCUCAACCCUCGGAUGCCGGUGGAUACUGUCGGGCUUGAGUACGGAAGAGGCGAGUGGAAUUCCUGGUGUAGCGGUGAAAUUCGUAGAUAUCGGGAGGAACACCAGUGGCGAAGGCGGCGAUCUGGGAAGAUACUGACGCUGAGGUGCGAAAGCGUGGGGAGCAAACAGG